rnacentral:rRNA from 1 species
GACGAACGCUGGCGGCGUGCCUAAUACAUGCAAGUCGAGCGGACGGAUGGGAGCUUGCUCCCAGACCGUCAGCGGCGGACGGGUGAGUAACACGUGGGCAACCUGCCUGUAAGACUGGGAUAACUCCGGGAAACCGGGGCUAAUACCGGAUAACUCUUUCCCUCACAUGAGGGAAAGCUGAAAGAUGGCAUCUCGCUAUCACUGACAGAUGGGCCCGCGGCGCAUUAGCUAGUUGGAGAGGGAACGGCUCACCAAGGCGACGAUCCGUAGCUGACCUGAGAGGAUGAGCAGGCACACUGGAACUGAGACACGGUCCAGACGCCUACGGGAGGCAGCAGGGGGGAAUAUUGGACAAUGGGCGAAAGCCUGAACCAGCCAUGCCGCGGGAGUGAAGAAGGUCUUCGGAUGGUAAAGCACGUUAAGGUGGGAGGAAGAGCAGUAAGUUAAUACCUUGCUGGUUUGACGUUACCAACAGAAUAAGCACCGGCUAACUUCGUG